rnacentral:piRNA from 1 species
GCCUCUUUCAUGGUUUGAGCAUCAGGGUGU